GAAGAAACGUCGAAGAGGAGAAGUAAAAAGUUUCGACUCUCUCAGAGAAUACCACCAGUGGCUGGAAGUGGUUAGAGUUCGUACUUUUGAAAUGCACCUCGGAGUGUUUGUCUGAACCGAAAAGUAGGGCAAAGCGGUCAUCUGCCGUUAUCAGAUAAAAGGGAAGGUAUCAACCUUAAACAGAGUGGGACCGCGCAAAGAAAGCGUCUCUGUG
rnacentral:ncRNA from 1 species